AGAGUUUGAUCCUGGCUCAGGACGAACGCUGGCGGCGUGCUUAACACAUGCAAGUCGAACGAGACGAUUGAAAGCUUGCUUUUGAAAGUCGAGUGGCAAACGGGUGAGUAACGCGUAGACAACCUGCCGUAAAGAUGGGGACAACAGUCCGAAAGGACUGCUAAUACCGAAUGUUGUAAAUCUUCCGCAUGGAAGACUUACUAAAGGUGGCCUCUACUUGUAAGCUAUCGCUUUACGAUGGGUCUGCGUCUGAUUAGCUGGUUGGUGGGGUAACGGCCUACCAAGGCGACGAUCAGUAGCCGGUCUGAGAGGAUGAACGGCCACAUUGGAACUGAGACACGGUCCAGACUCCUACGGGAGGCAGCAGUGGGGAAUCUUCCGCAAUGGGCGCAAGCCUGACGGAGCAACGCCGCGUGAGUGAAGAAGGGUUUCGACUCGUAAAGCUCUGUUGUCGGGGACGAACGUGGAGACGGCAAAUAGUCGUUUCCAAUGACGGUACCUGACGAGGAAGCCACGGCUAACUACGUGCCAGCAGCCGCGGUAAUACGUAGGUGGCGAGCGUUGUCCGGAAUUAUUGGGCGUAAAGGGAGCGCAGGCGGGAAGGUAAGUCUAUCUUAAAAGUGCGGGGCUCAACCCCGUGAGGGGAUGGAAACUAUCUUUCUUGAGUGCAGGAGAGGAAAGCGGAAUUCCUAGUGUAGCAGUGAAAUGCGUAGAUAUUAGGAGGAACACCAGUGGCGAAGGCGGCUUUCUGGACUGUAACUGACGCUGAGGCUCGAAAGCGUGGGGAGCGAACAGGAUUAGAUACCCUGGUAGUCCACGCCGUAAACGAUGAAUGCUAGGUGUAGGAGGUAUCGACCCCUUCUGUGCCGGAGUUAACGCAAUAAGCAUUCCGCCUGGGGAGUACGGCCGCAAGGCUGAAACUCAAAGGAAUUGACGGGGGCCCGCACAAGCGGUGGAGUAUGUGGUUUAAUUCGACGCAACGCGAAGAACCUUACCAGGGCUUGACAUUGAGUGGAAGGACAAGAGAUUGUCCCCUCUCUUCGGAGACACGAAAACAGGUGGUGCAUGGCUGUCGUCAGCUCGUGUCGUGAGAUGUUGGGUUAAGUCCCGCAACGAGCGCAACCCUUAUCCUUUGUUGCCAGCACGUUAUGGUGGGAACUCAAAGGAGACUGCCGCGGACAACGCGGAGGAAGGCGGGGAUGACGUCAAGUCAUCAUGCCCCUUAUGUCCUGGGCUACACACGUACUACAAUGGGAUGGACAGAGAGCAGCGAAGCCGCGAGGCCAAGCGAACCCCAUAAACCAUCUCCCAGUUCGGAUUGCAGGCUGC
rnacentral:rRNA from 1 species